ACCAUUCUGACGGUGUGCAACUUUCGGUUGCGAAAACGAACACCGCGGACCGCGGGAGUGUAAUCUCUUCGGAACGAAACUAUGACUCUCUGCUUUUACUUGUUCCUUCGAUCGAGCGAGUAGUCCUCGCAAGUGACAUCACAGUCUAUACAUCCAGCGAGAUAUACUCGAUGACAGGAAUUCAGGGGGCGACUGUUCGUUCACACGACGGGAAGAUUUUGAAUUCACGAGGUUGAGAAAUUCGUUUUCGACGCACCACGAAUCGCUAAGGACGGGAACGCACGUAUCUCGACUGGAAGACGAAGAACGGUCCGUCGCGACGAGCAUUCGCGAGCAACCGCAACACACUGAGCCGCUUGAGCGAGGAAGACGAGGCUAUGAGGCGCGGACAAACGACGUCGGGACGACGCCGCGUCUUCGUCGGCUUCGUGGGCGCGCGCCUCCGCUCUGGCUGCGUCACGGCGCCUGCUCGCUCAGGGUACUACGUGUUCGAUGAGUAAAAACCCAUCCGGGAAGGGGUAGGGAGCAGGGGCGCGAUUUGCAGGCCGGUUAUUACGUACGAUUCUCUAGGCGUCGAGUAAUUGCGGGAAGAGAAUAUCGUUCGGUCGCCGUAAAAGGAUCGAUAGAGGGUGCCGAGUCACGACGACCACGUGAAAUUUUCGCCAUGAAAUUACGAGGAUCGAUACUGGAAAACGGGGUGCGCGUUGCACCCUGAAAUAUAUGUUUACUUUUGUGAGUUUCGUUGAAAUAUUUUCAAGCUUCCUUCUAAUCAAGCCUGGAGAACACCCUUCCGGUUCGCGAUUUCGAAAAACGACUGAAACUGACCAGCGUAGCCAGGUUUAUUUUUCUUCUAGGCGAAUACCGUACACAAUAGUGAUUGCAUCUGAUAUAGAAAACUGCAAGAUCUCGAUACACAAGUGACAAAUUCUGCGAUCAUGUAAAUUACCUUUUUAUACAGCAAUCGUUUCAUACCGACUUCCGAGCUUCAAUCGAAGAAUCAAUGUAUAAUGCAUAAUACUUUUUUUUUUCAUGAAGAAAAAUGCGUUCUUAAAGUGGGAAGUACGUGGGUUGUACUUAUGCAAAUUUUGAAAAAGUUGUUAUCGGCAAUGCUUGAGCAAAAAGUUUAUGCAGAAACGUUAGUGUUGCGGUAUUCUAGCUUAGAGGACUUAUUUCUCUCUCUUUUUAAGAAGGCUGACUAAAUCGAAUCGAUUAAAAAAUCAAUUCAAGCUGAACACACGGACUAUUUAAUUACACGUGUACUAAAUGUGUGCAAGGACAUAAUGGAAGUACAAGAGCGUAACUAAGAACCUGCGUAAUUAGAAACCGCGUAACUCGAGGACUCGUUAUGCAUUUCUGACUCGGAAUUCUCUGAAUCGUUGUCGGACUGCGUGGUACACAUUUCAUGCAAGAAUAUUCAGAAAUGUGGCUAUUUUUAAACCGAGCCACGCGUUUAAUUUCACGGCGUUGACUAAUCACGGAAAUAUUGUUUCUAUAUCCGCGAAAGGAUAGAUAAGUAUAUUUUGAUUUCGUCGAAUUACAAUACGAAAAUGUACAAUCGAAUACGAGAAUAAUUUAGGAAUACCUAUCACUCGGUAACUGAUCGAUACACAACUACUAACUCGAAUGACAUAUAGCAAUGCCACGACAGAAAUGUCGUCUAGAUAUUUAAAGAGAAUCGAUGCGAGAUUAGGUAAUCUUUUGGUAAAGUUUAGAGUUCUGGCUGGGUGAUGUGUUCCAGUUUCACGUGGAAUGUAUUGUUUCGAUAGCUUCAUACUAAAUUCUGUCACGCUUUCUCAAUUCUGUGUCAGUUCGUUUUGUUCUAUUGUCGUACCAACGUGACUACCAGUCAAUUGUCGUCGACGAUUAUUAUUCUGCGUUAUCACGGUGCCAUCGAAACCACGCAAUUCUGACUACCAAGAAACGUUCAAAGAUACUGGAAUUUAUACGUUGUUACUGUUUUACUAAUCGAUUUGCUUUUUUUAUUAUCACGAGGUCAAGCUACUGUUUUCCCGUAUUUAUUAUCGAUGUAAUGGAAUAGAAAGGGGGUUUUAAACAAAUAUCAAUACGUACUGUUCGAAGUGCUUUGUGUCGGAAACGAUAAAGUAGGUAUGAAGCAAUAAAAAUAGUAAUUUUCAGAAUCGUUACUUUAAUCGCGAGCAUACGUCAAACCUCGAACGUCGUGUGUUCCAUCGUAUCCAUGAUUUCACAACCGUGGCCUUCAUUAGAGCGGAUUCAAGGCACUCCUUUGACGAAAUAACUAACUUGGAACAGUAGUUCGUUGAAAUCGUGAAUUUAAGACGCGCCUCGAGUCCACUCCGAAACGAAAUGGCUUUCUAAUGUUUAUUGAUGAACACGUUUAGUGUUUCUAUCGCGGUAUCGUAAAGGUCGAUGUCUCGGAAUAUGUAGAAUUGUUCGAAUCGACCCCGUGUAAUUGCCUAGCGUCCACUUUUAGCGCGAAGUAUAUGAGGAAACUCGUGGUUAAACGGCGCCAGAUGCUUCCGUCAUCAGCAGAUGUCAAAACUAAUGUUUACUGGAGCUUUUGCGUGAAACAAACGACGAACAUCCGGUGCGAGCGACGUACGAACAUUUUGAAAAACGGCUCGUUGCAAGUGGAAAUCACAGCCAUUUGUCCUGUGGGCGUAUCGUUUCUCUCUAGGUUGAACAAACAAACCAAUCAUAGAAACUGUUCCUUAAAUUUCGCUCUGACUUCAUCGCUAUAAAACGCUUCGGCGUAGAAAAUUCUCGAUAAACCACGCGCUUAUCAUCUCUAACAUAACAAGUCACGAUUAACGCGUAUGCUUUCGUACAUUUGGCACCCGAGAAGUUCUGAACUGGGUUCAGCGAAAUAUUAUUGCGAAGUGCUUUACUAUCAUUGAUAGAAUCUAUUUUGUUAUGAGACAUUGGGUCGUUAUAGUUUAUUUUUGUUCGCGUUGCGCUAUUUUCGAGACAUGUAGACGAGCCACGAGCGUCGAAAGGUUACGAGGUCAUUUCGAUCGAUGACAUUACAGAUGAGGUCUCUCUAUAUAAAGGUGAGCAAUAGAUUAUCUGAUUCAUAGAAGAAUUAUGUAAAUGAAAUUCUGUUAAAGAAAAGAAAUGUAAAAUACGUAAUGUCCAAAGCAAUAAUAGCGUUUGAAUAUGUGCGCAAUUCACGUAUUAAGCAUUACGACGACGUUUGAACGGUUUAUUGCGAUGCACUUCGAGUUACAAACAGACCUAUUACAAGAAAAAACGUGGCCAUCAUAAAGUACUCGAUGUGUUUUUAUAUUCUGGGGAAGAUCAUGAUAAACGCGAUGGAUUCAAAAUGGAAUACGACUACAGCGCUACAUCCCAUGGGAGUCGGUCGCCGAUUGAAAUUUGUGUCCCGCCAGCACCGCCAUGAAAGUUGACGACCAAUUCGAAUGAAGUUUCAGAAGGAGACGAUGAACGAUCGUCGACCAUGUUUGCUCGAAAGACGGCCCCUCGCCUUUCAAGGAAGAUAAAUCUUUGAAAACUUUACGAGUCGUUUUUGCGACUGAAGAUUCCAGGAGACACUUGGAUUGGUACGCUCAUAAUUUGUAUACUUUGCAAACGAUGGAGUUUCCAUUCUACGAUUAGAGAGUCUCUCGAGAUCUCCAUGCGUCCGUUUGCAUAACCCAAUUGGUUACGACACGUUGUCUGAGAAGCCAUGUCUGAUAUACUGUUCAUUUGUAAGAAAGUGGUGAAUACGGGCAACGUGACCGUUGCAUAUAGUUUAAAAAGUUCCUGUAAAAAUGUAGAUACCGCUCGAGAAGAACGUAACACUAAUUUGCACCCCCUACUCAAAUCAGUCCAAACUAAAUUCCUGUUGAAAGCUAACUCCGCAGGAAAAUUACUAUAAAUGCAAGGAUGACAACGUGGCUUUCCUAAUAUAGUAAAUAUAAAUUAUAAAUGCAAAUUUGGUCAUUUAAAGAUCUCGUUAAAGGGAAGAAAAAAUUGUCUUUAAACGUUUGCAUGGAAAUUAACUGCUCAAAGAUAUCAGCGUUGUAAUUAGUAAACCAGUCUUCAUACGAUUCUACGUAUGAUUUUUUAUACGAUUAACUCAUACCACACGUAACACGCAACGCUUCUCGUAACAAGUAUUCGGAAUUAUCGCAAUUCAUUUAAAUGCAGGCUUGCACGUGUGACAGGUGACGUUUACAAGCGCAACAAAUCAAAUAAGCAGAGCUGAAUAUGUAAACUACGCGUAGCUUUACAAUAUACUGCUUAUUUAUAUAGAUUACAAUAUCUCUGAAAUAAUUAAUCUCCAUCCAUAAGUUUAAUAGAUCAUUUUUUUCUUCUUUAACGAGUUUUAUGUAAAGUUUGUACU